rnacentral:rRNA from 1 species
UACGUAGGGGGCUAGCGUUGUUCGGAAUCACUGGGCGUAAAGCGCACGUAGGCGGCUCUUUAAGUCAGGGGUGAAAUCCCGAGGCUCAACCCCGGAACUGCCUUUGAAACUAGAUUGCUAGAAUCCUGGAGAGGUGAGUGGAAUUCCGAGUGUAGAGGUGAAAUUCGUAGAUAUUCGGAAGAACACCAGUGGCGAAGGCGACUCACUGGACAGGUAUUGACGCUGAGGUGCGAAAGCGUGGGGAGCAAACAGG